UUUGUGAACUUAUACCUUACUGUUGCCUCGGCGCAGGCCGGCCUCACUGAGGCCCCUCGGAAACGAGGAGCAGCCCGCCGGCGGCCAACCAAACUCUUGUUUCUUAGUGAAUCUCUGAGUAAAAAACAUAAAUGAAUCAAAACUUUCAACAACGGAUCUCUUGGUUCUGGCAUCGAUGAAGAACGCAGCGAAAUGCGAUAAGUAAUGUGAAUUGCAGAAUUCAGUGAAUCAUCGAAUCUUUGAACGCACAUUGCGCCCUCUGGUAUUCCGGAGGGCAUGCCUGUUCGAGCGUCAUUUCAACCCUCAAGCACUGCUUGGUGUUGGGGCACCGCCUGUGAAAGGGCGGGCCCUGAAAUCUAGUGGCGAGCUCGCCAGGACCCCGAGCGUAGUAAUUAUAUUUCGUUCUGGAAGGCCCUGGCGGUGCCCUGCCGUUAAACCCCCAACUUCUGAAAAUUUGACCUCGGAUCAGGUAGGAAUACCCGCUGAACUUAAGCAUAUCAAUAA
rnacentral:rRNA from 1 species